rnacentral:rRNA from 1 species
UACGGGGGGGGCAAGCGUUGUUCGGAAUUACUGGGCGUAAAGGGCUCGUAGGCGGCCAACUAAGUCCGACGUGAAAUCCCCAGGCUUAACCUGGGAACUGCGUCGGAUACUGGAUGGCUUGAAUUCGGGAGAGGGAUGCAGAAUUCCAGGUGUAGCGGUGAAAUGCGUAGAUAUCUGGAGGAAUACCGGUGGCGAAGGCGGCAUCCUGGACCGACAUUGACGCUGAGGAGCGAAAGCUAGGGGAGCAAAGCGGGG